GGGGAAUAUUGGACAAUGGGCGAAAGCCUGAUCCAGCAAUGCCGCGUGGAUGAAGAAGGUCUUCGGAUUGUAAAGUCCUUUCGGCGGGGACGAUGAUGACGGUACCCGCAGAAGAAGCCCCGGCUAACUUCGUGCCAGCAGCCGCGGUAAUACGAAGGGGGCUAGCGUUGCUCGGAAUGACUGGGCGUAAAGGGCGCGUAGGCGGUUUGAUCAGUUAGGUGUGAAAUUCCUGGGCUUAACCUGGGGGCUGCACUUAAUACGGUCAGACUAGAGUGUGGAAGAGGGUCGUGGAAUUCCCAGUGUAGAGGUGAAAUUCGUAGAUAUUGGGAAGAACACCGGUGGCGAAGGCGGCGACCUGGUCCAUUACUGACGCUGAGGCGCGAAAGCGUGGGGAGCAAAC
rnacentral:rRNA from 1 species